rnacentral:rRNA from 1 species
CCUACGGGUGGCAGCAGUGAGGAAUAUUGGUCAAUGGGCGCGAGCCUGAACCAGCCAAGUAGCGUGAAGGAUGACUGCCCUACGGGUUGUAAACUUCUUUUAUAAAGGAAUAAAACGAGGCACGUGUGCCUUUUUGAAUGUACUUUAUGAAUAAGGAUCGGCUAACUCCGUGCCAGCAGCCGCGGUAAUACGGAGGAUCCGAGCGUUAUCCGGAUUUAUUGGGUUUAAAGGGAGCGUAGAUGGGUUGUUAAGUCAGUUGUGAAAGUUUGCGGCUUAACCGUAAAAUUGCAAUUGAUACUGGCAGUCUUGAGUACAGUUGAGGUAGGCGGAAUUCGUGGUGUAGCGGUGAAAUGCUUAGAUAUCACGAAGAACCCCGAUUGCGAAGGCAGCUUACUAAACUGUGACUGACAUUGAUGCUCGAAAGUGUGGGUAUCAAACAGGAUUAGAUACCCGGGUAGUC